UCAUCAGUUAAGGCAGGAACUGGCCAUCUGGAUGUGGCUUCCGAGGCGAUCGGGCAGCGUCAGUCUUCAGCCGCUAAGCCGAGAAGAUCUGGGAAGGAGUCAGUCAGAGAGCCUUGGGCCAGAGUUCCAGGGGCUCUGGGAGUGGCUGCCAGAGGAAGAUACUGAGGGUAAGAAGUUGAGCAGCCCCCUAGAAGUCACAGAUUUGGUUUUGUCACUGAAGAACUAAAUGUAAGUAGGUAUAUGUACACAGCACAAUGAUAGUAUCUGCUCAAAACUGUAUUUGGUAAUAGCCAUAUUGCUCUCUUGAGCAAAAAUUUUAGCCAUGCCUAACAACACUAAUUUGCCAGAAACAUUCUAAAGAUCGAUUAAAUGUAUCAAAACAUUUGGAGCCUAGUUGAUAUAUGUGAUUAUGAGUUAAUUUAAACUAUUACAGAAUAACAACACUGGUUUUUAACAAUACAAAUAAAGCAAAAAUGUACACAACAGCAUUUUAUAAACCAAAAUCAAAGUGGUGGUCUAAUUUGGUGUGGCCUGUGUUAAAGCUUCAUUCAGAACUCCAAAGAGAGAAAGUAUUUGGUAUCAUUCUAAAAAACCGGGCACUAUAUACUUGAGAGGAAUAAAACCUGGAAAGCAGGCAGAUAACAAACUUAUUUAUUCAAUUAUUUAUCUAAUAAAUGUCUAUUAAAUAACUUCUUCGUGCUUGGGAAACAUUUAAAUAUCAAACCGAUCAAUAAGACACACAAAAACUCCUAUCCUUUGGAGUGUAAAUGCUACUGAGGGGACUGCCCAAAAACUAGGAAUAUAAUUAAUAUUAAAUUAAGUAGUAUGAUAGAAGAUGAUGUGAGCAAUGCAAAAACUAGAGAAAAGUAACGGGGAUUAGAAGUGCCAGGUAAGUGUGUGCAGAAAUUUUGGCCAUAUGACAAUUUAAAUAGAA
ensembl:lncRNA novel transcript